rnacentral:lncRNA from 1 species
UAUAUUUAUCAUAAAUUUAGAUUAUUUAAAAUAUUCAAAUAAUUUUAUAAUAAGAUAGAGAAAUGAAUUGAAAAGAGUAUUGAAAUUCUUCGGUCAGACCAAGGAGGAGAAUAUCCUUCCGAUGAGUUUUUGACAUAUCUAGAAGAGAAUAAGGAUUCUCUCUUAUUGGAAUCGACUUUGUUAGAUAUAGUUCGAUUCAUGAUGAAGUUUAUAAGUCUGCCAGUCUCCUCUUAAGGUUAUGCUC